GCCCAUGGUUCUCAGUUCUGCA
rnacentral:miRNA from 17 species